UCUUCCAUCCCUUGGGAUAGCUCAGUCAGCAGAAUAUGAGACUCUUAAUCUCAGGGUUAGGGGUUUGAGCCCCGUGUUGGGUGAA